UUUCUAAAAAAUAAAUCAAUUUCAAGAAAAAAAUAAUAAUCCACAGCUAAAUCUAUACUAUAUUAAAAAGAUUAUAUAAUCAACAGGGAGAGUGAAUCACCGACGAUCUACGAUCUUCCCUCAUGCAAGGAGGUGGAACUGCGACUAUAAAAAUUGAUUGGAGAGCAGUUUCAUUUAACUUCGAUAUAUGACAGUGACAAUGAUUGCGGCUGUAUCAACAUCGAUGAAGGAGUUCCCGUGAUCGGAAUGGAGUACAAACUGUCUCAGGUGUUGCAGUUCUCUUGGUCAUCAUUGAAAAAGUCAGGUAUAAAUAAACAUUGAUAAAGAAAUAAGCUUUCCAUCGACUAUCAAAUUAUUUUUUUCAGGAAUACUUUACUGACCUGAAGGCGUUGAAGCCAAACUAUGGCAGGUACCAGAGACGCUUCCAGAAUAAGCACUCUCUAAGAUGAGCACACCACCAAAGAGUGAAUCACCAAUCAUCACACCUGACGAACUAACUGAAGCUGAUGGGUUCGUCUUUGGAUUCCCAACAAGGUACGGCAUGAUGGCUGCUCAGCUCAAAGUCUUCUUGGACACUACCGGUGGACUCCGGAGAACUCAGUCACUUGCUGGUAAACCAGCUGGAUCUUCUACAGCAGUGGCUCUCAAGGUGGUAGCCAAGAAACCACUGCGUAAGUUCCCAUGAAACCAUGAGAGUCGUGAGCCGUAGUUUGUCAAUAAUAAAGUAGAUGUUUUUUUCUCAAGUCAUGUUCACGCAUACGUGAGGUCAGUAAGUACACAAAACUUUAGCUCAUUAUGUCUCCGUUUAAACUAUAGAUUAUGAUAAUUUUUUGAGCUUCUGUGAAACCAUGAACUCUUUUUUUUUUAUCAACUACCAUGAACCCAUAUCAAACAUAGCAGACACCGUGGUUAAUGACAUUUCCAGUCCACUAAAAGAUCAAUCUGCUCAUGUCUACAUCAUUUGUGAUGGAGGAAACAUUGAAGGAUUUGCUACCAAGUCAGCUAUAUAAUAAAGGACUUAUGGUCAUUGCAAACAACCUUUUUAUUAGAUUUUAGAUGUGUUAUAUGAUUUCUGCAGAAUGACUGAGCCUCAGCCUAAGUACUCUACCACAGAGAAGCAAGUUUUGGACAUGCUAUAAUCUCGAUAGAGAAAUGUACAUAUGCGCAGUAUGGAUGGGACAGGAAAAAUUUACGUAGUCAGGGCUGGCACCAUGUUGUUUUACAACUGGUUAUGGCAUCCUGAUGGUGAUUCUACUUCUUUUUCUUGAGAACCUCAAUAAAUAUAUCAGUUGCAACAUCUACAAAUAUAACCGUGACUGAUAACAGAGACUGACUGCUAAUGGUUCUGAGUCAUUCCCACUGCACAAAAGAACAAACAAAAAAAAAAGCCAAGUUGAAUAAUAAGACACAAACCAUCCAUACAUUACGUAAGAUGUAGAAGAUAUACUUUGAAUUUACAAAACCAUUUAACGUAAUAAAAAUACAAUAAAAGAGUAGAUAUAGUCAUGCACUGAAAAAAUCUAAAUAGAUGUCAAGAACCCAAAAAAUAUCUACAUUUAAAGAAAGAAACACACAACAAAAUAAUAAGCAACCAAGCUUUGUUGUUGUCAAUAUUACCCUUCACGCAAGCAUCUCUAACCAGUAAUAUGUCUGAUCUGCACUAAAUGAUUGAACCACUGAAAAGAGAACAUCCAAUAUCAGCAUGAAAGUGGAGAAGAGAAUGGUAGCAAACAAAACAAACAGUGUAACCUAUAACCUAUAGGAUGAAACAAAACUAAAACCAAGAAGACUUGGAUGAAUAAGAACAACGAAAACUAUAAAGAUAAUGGUGAUGAUUGGUUCGAUUGUGGCUUUAAAAAUUUAGCUGUCGAUGUUUAGCUGUAGAUAAAUUGGUUGUAGCUGUAAAGUUGUUACUGUAGAUUUUUUCUGCAGAGACUUUUGCUAUAGUUAAAUUUGUUGUAGUUGUAAGUUAUAGGCUGUAGAUAUUUUAAAAUAAAAUAUAUGAAAUAUGUGUUGUAUAUAUAAAAUUAUUAUUUUAUAUGAAUUAAAAUAAUUUAUAUUAAUAUUUGUUUUUAUAAAUUAUCAAAACUUAUUGUAAUUUAAAAUGUGAUAUGUAAAUAAUAUUUAUAUUAUUUAAAUAUCUUAAUAAUUAAAAAACACUCAAAUUCAAAAUUAAACUAUUUAUAAAAAAUUUUAUUAUGAUUAUAUAAUUUAUUUGAUAUUAUAGAUUUUUUUUUUUCAUUUUACAGAUUUUACAGACUAUAAAAAGAUGAUGUAGCAUUUUUGCCUAAAAUACAUAAGAAAAAGUUUUACUUUAUUUUUUUGGCUGUAGCUUUAAAAAUAAAGCUAAAGCAUGAUUGGUAAAACUAAAUAAAAAUUUGAUGUAGACUUUAAUUUUUAAAAGUAAAGUUACAACAUGAUUGGUAAAAUUUAGUGAUUUAAAAAUAAAUAAAGCUAAAGUAGGGAGAUAAAUCUCAACCAAUCACCCUCAAUAUAUUUGUGCCAUACUGUAGUUAUAAAGUUAAUAAUAUAUUUUAGAAUGAAAAACUAAUAAAUAUAAUUAUUCUUAUGUGUAACAACUACAGUAACCAAAGUAACCAAUUAACUUUUGAUGUGAGAGAUCUAAUGUAGAAAAUAAAUUUGUAAAUAAUAGUAGAAAUAGAUAAAUAGAUAUUUUAAAUGUACACAAUACAAUAUAUAUAUAUUCAUAUAAUUAAUUCAAUUAAUUAAAACAAAGAGGCUCCAAAUCAACAUGAUAUACUAUAUUUACUAUUAAAAUUAUGGGCUGGAAAAGAGAAAAUUAUAAUUAAACAGUUAAAACACAUGAUAAAAUAAACCAAAACAAUAAAAAUUUAAAGAUCUACACAUUUUAAAAAAUAUGGCUAAACUAAAUAGAAAAUAAGUCAUACGAAUUUAUAAAUAAAAUUUAUAUUAUUUCAAUAUAUAUAAAUGAAAAAGUUCAGAUUAACCAUUUCAGAAAAAACAAAAUGACAAAAAUAAAAAUUUGUAUCCUUGAGAACAAGUAACUUUGUUCAGUAUACCCCACUCUGCGGAAUUCUUGAUAAAAUAAUACAGUAAUACUAGGUGUUUGUCCACGAUUUCGCAAAUGAUAAUAUUAUAUGAAAAGUACAUGAUAUUUUUAUAAUGAUGUAAUUGUUGAAUAAUAAUUAGAAAUAUUAAAAAUUAAAAUUUAAUAAGUUGAUAUUAAAAAAUUUCAGUAUAUAUUUUUAGAAGAGCUGUGAAAUUUAAGAUAAUUACAUAAAUAUAAGACGCUAAAAAUAUAUUUCUUAAAUGUAAGUAUUAUUACAAUUGGUUCAAAUAAUUAGUUGUUAAUACCUUUUUGUUUAUUUAACACAUGGAAAACGAAAACACUCUUACAUGUUCUUGUGUAGUUCCAAAAAUAUGGUUAGAGGCUUAUAUAGCUCUGGCUACUUCGUUAAUGAUUUGUUUUCUUUAUGUUUAUAUAGAUCUAAUGUAAACAAUCAAUUCGUGAAUAAUAGUAUAAAUAUAUAUUUUAAAUUUACACAUUACGAAAUAUUAAAUAUAAUAAAUAUAUUCGUAUGAUUAAUUCAUAUUACUUAAAAAAAAGAGGGUCAAAAUCAACAUGAUAUACUAUAUUUACGAUUAAAAAUAAUUUAGGCUGGAAAAGAGCAAAUUAUUAUUAAAAAGUUAAAACACAUGAUAAAAUAAACCAAAACAAUAAAACUUUAAAGAUCAACAUAUUUUUAAAAAUAUGGCUAAACUAAAUAGAAAAUAAGACGUACGAAUUUAUAAACAAAAAAUAUAUUAUUUCAAUAUAUAUAUAUAUAUGCAAAAGUUCAGAUUAACCAUUUCUGGAAAAAAAAUAACAAAAUUAAGAAUUCGUACCCUUGAGAACAAGUAACUUUGAUCAGUAUACCCCACUCCGCGGAACUUUUGAUUAACUAAUACUAGGUGCUUGCCCGUGAUUUUGCGGAUAAUAAUAUCAUAAGAAAAAUACGUGAUAUGUUUAUAAUGUUAUAAUUUUUGAAUAAUAAUUAUAAAUACUAAAAAUUUAACAUUUAAUAGUUUGAUAUUCAAAAAUUUCAGUACCUAUUUUUAGAAGAGCUGUGAAAUUUAAAAUAAUUACAUAAAUAUAAGUCGCUAAAAAUAUUUUUCUUAAAUGUAAGUAUUAUUACAAUUGGUUCAAAUAAUUAGUUGUUAAUACCUUUUUGUUUAUUUUAACACGUGGAAAACGAAAAACACUCUUACCAUAAAAAUGUAUUUUUGUGUAGAUCCAAGAAUAUGGUUAGAGGCUUCUAUAGCUCUGGCAUCUUCGUUGAUGAUUUGUUUUAUUUAAAUUUCUUUCAUUUGUUUGAUUGUUUCCAAUUUAUUUUAAAUUUGAUAAAAAAACUAAAUUGUUUUUAUGUAUUUUUUUCAAAACAAAAGUUUCGGGUAUGACUAAAAACUCAAUUUUAUUUUUAUAUGUGAAUAAGGUAUUAAACAAUCUUAACAUUUAUAAACCAUUCACGCCCAAACAUACUUUAAAACCAUCAAAGUUGUUAUAUACACCUCUUACAAAUCAUCAUAAACACACAUACAGUGAAAAUAUACAAUAAUAUGGUUAUAUAUAUAUAUAUCACAAUAAUAGAGUGAAAAUAUGGAUAUUGGAUUUUUUUGGUCAAAACCAAAUUAAGUUGUAGUUUAAAGAUUGAUUGGAUCUGAUAUUUGAUUUUAUGGGGUGUUUCUAUUUAUUUUGAAUCGACUGAUGAUUGAACCUGUCGAGUUGAUUUUUGGGUUUGUAUUUCCAGGCUAAAUCUCUGUCGUCGACCAAACACUGAUCAUGAAGAAAUCAGCAAACUAUCAUUUUCAAAAGCCAAGGAUAACAGAAAGUCAUCAUCCAACUUAUAAUAUUAUAAGAGACAUAUAAAAACAUACAAAUUAUAUAAAUAACACAUAUAACAAAAAAAAAUGUGAUGUUGAGAUUAAUAAAAUAUUUUAUAAAUAACUAAAUAUGUAAAAAUAUUUUUGAGAAUAACUUAGGUUUAAAAAAUUAUUUAAUAAUUUCACAUUGUUCACUAUCCCAUACAUAUUUUAGAUAGUAGAAGAUAACAAAUUGUGAGUUUUACUCAUUUUAGUUCAAUUUAUUAUUUAUAUUUUAUAACAUAGAUGUAAUAUAUUGUAAUAUACAUAUAAAAUAUAUGUUAUUUGUAUAUAGCCCCGGGCGUAGCCCGGGCAAAAUCUCUAGUCAUUAAUAAACUAAGUAAAUCAAAGAUUUAGACUGCGAGUAGAUUGUAGAUUUUUGGAAUUGAAUGAUGUGGAAUGACCUAUUCUAUUAAUUCCAUAAUUUUUUUUUUUACUAUUUGACAUGAAUGUAAUGAAAUAUUCAUUCCAUCAGUUCCAAAAAUAAAAGGAAUGGAAUGAAUUCCAUAACAAAUUUGAUCAUGAAUUAAUAGAAUGAAUUCCAUUCCAUUUUUUGAUGUACUUCAUUCCAACUAUUUUAAAUUCCACAAAUUUCAUAUUUGUUUACCAGUUACACCCUUAGUUAUUUGUGUAUUGACAAAAUAAAAUUAAAACAUUAAACUGAAUCAAUUGAUUAGUGCUAAAACGACAUCUUCUAAGAAAUAUGUAGGUGGUGUUAUUCAAUCAUGUACUCUAAUAAAGUUUAAAUAUAAACAUAAUACAUUUUUAUUCAAAUGAUGUUUAAAAUUUCUAUUUUAAAAUAUAAUGUUAAUCAAUGAAUGAUUUAAAUCUAGUUUUUAAAAUCUAGUGUUAUUCAACUUUUAAGGAUUUUAAUUUUUUUUUGUAUUUUGGAUUGAUUUCAAAUAAUUUCUUAUGGAGUCUUGAUUGAACUCAAAAUCCAAUGCAUACUGCAGAGAUUUUAGAAUCCAUCAAUUUAAACUAUCUUAAAUUUUUAAAUUUUGUCAUAUUACAAAACAUUAAUAAUUGAUUUUAAAUCACAAUUGAUAACACCCCUAUAUUAUUUGAGAUAAUCUCCCACUUAUCUUUAUACUUCUUCUCUAACAUAAAAAACUAAUAUACAGAUAAUUUUUGUUCUAAUGCUUAUCUUUAUAAUGUAAGGAUUUUACUUUUGAAGAAAAAUAUAGAUGAAUGUUGUUUAGAAAUGGAUUAAAAGUUAUCUCAAAGAUCAAAGAGUCAAAAUCUGCUCACGGCAGACAAGGUAGACAUUUACUUCCAGCACCAUCACCUCUUCUAAUUCAUCAUUGCGGUGGUGAUUCCUCCUCGCCGUCAAGGAUUUAUCGAGUCGAUUGUAUCUUGCGAUCGAAAUGAUUGGGUUGAGGCUUCGUUUGUGGCUUCUAAUCUCGUGGAAGGUAACGGUGUGGAAGUCAACGAUGGUCAUUUCAAUGUGUGUCACGCUAUUAAUCUUGUUGAGCUAGUUGGCCAGUUGGCAGUCAUUUUGCGUCGUUACAUCUACCACAGGAAUGGAGCUGCUAACGUUUCUUGUUUUUACCAUGUUUUUUAAUACUUUUACUUUCCACUUAAAUAUAUGUAAUUCAUCAUAUAUGUAAUUCGUCCGCUUUUUACCACAAGAUUCUGUUAUUGAAUUUUUUCAAUUUUCAUUAAAAACAGUUUAAAAAAAUUAAAAACUAACGACAGAGACAUAUAUAACUAGAUUUUGGAAGAUGUAUGGUCAAGACGGAGUUGUAGUAGUUCAUAAAGCACGACAUGAACUACAACAUCAGAUGUGGAUACAAGAGUUGGUCUAGACGGUUAACGAGCAUUAAAGGAAGAUUUAGUGAAGAUGUCAGUUUAAAGGAAGUAUUGAAGAAGAAGCAAUCGAGCUUAGAGGAAAGGUAUAUUGGCUUAUUCGCUGAAGAAGUAUAUAUGGAAAGUUUCCAUUAGGUAGAUUUUACAUCUAGGGUUUGCCUCUAAAAAUAUAAAGAGGAGUCUUGGCAAUGUGUGGCCGUUUAACACACAGAGAGAGCUUUUAGCAAUAGCAAGGUUUGCAAGUCCGAAUAAGGAGAAGAAAAACCACUAGGGGUUAAGAGCUUGAAUGGUUCAUAGACUGCAUCAAGUCUGUGAACGAGUGAGACUAGUCAACCAGCCAAAGUUUGUCUUGAGCUUACUUGAAGAAUUGCUUUGAAGAAGAACUUGUAUGUGCUUGUAAAAGGAUUAAUCUAGUCAUAUUUGUUGAAAAAAAAUAUUCAUGUGUUACAGUGUGUUCUAGUUAGUGUAGUUUGAUUAUCUUACAUUAACAGUUUUUACUUUUUAUUACCAAGUAAGUCUUAAGUAAAAAAGUUAUCUUAUGAUUUGGUUUCAUCAAUUUUGCAAGCAUUAAAAAUUCAUAUCAGUGCAUGGAUCUUAACGAACCUUCGUGCAUUGCUUUUAAUUUUAAGAGAAAACCAAACUAUUAGGCAAAUUCAAAUUAUAUAUCAAACUAUUGAUUAAGAUUAGAAAAAAAAAUGCGACCAUCAAAAUGUUUCUUACUUUAAAUUUUAACAAUGUAAAAUGGGACAAUCAAGUACCUUUAGAAAGCAAGACAUGCAUUUUGAAUACCAUUAAGUAUGGUGUCUUCCAAUUGUUUUUUUUUAAUGUUCUUGAAGAUGUUAUUUUGUGUCCUAAAGGUGUACAUAUAAUGUGCCAUAAGACUUAUUAUGAUUCCACUAAGUAUUUGGCAAACUGCUUUUUUGUUGAAAUAUUUAUGAGUAGCAUUGAGAUGAGAAACUAGGUAUGACUCACUUUCUUGUUUUUCAUAUAAUAUUUAUCAUUUGAUAAUAAAAUAUAAUGAGAUUUUUCUCCUCUUCAAUUUUUACUUUUUUCCAUAAUAUUAAUAGAUUAAAAUUUACAACUAACUUAAAAAUGAAUAUGUCCAUAUUAUUUAAACUAACACACAAUCUCAUAUCAUAGCAUGUAUAAGAGAUGUUUUUAGAAAAAUAUUUAGGAUAACAAAAACAAAUUAUACCAUAAUAUAGUACAUAAGGAAAAAUGAGUCAGUAAUAUUCAUUAGGUUAAGCCCUUCCUCACAAAAAAAAACAUUCAUUAGGUUGAAAUUACUUUAAAACAUAUAUUUACGGUUGAUUGGUUAAUAAUAAAAGUCUAAUUUUUUGGAAGUAAGAAUUUAGAAUCUGAGUAUUAUGAUUUAUGGUCAAGAAUUGAAGAAUUAGUAUAUAAAGUUUAAAAUAAUCUAUCUAUAAUAAUAAAGGAGAGUUGUCUCUCUCCUUAGGCUAUCCAGCUCAGCAAAGAGGGAGGGGCUUUUGUUGACAGCUGGCACUUCUUUAUUCUGCCGUUCUCUUUAUUUUUCAUUCAAUCGGCAUCAAUAUUCUCCAAUGUAACCGAUAGAAACUCAGAUUCUUGGUACUAAUACUCACCAAAUCAUCAGCAGGCACAUCUUGGGAUGGAUUCACCAAUCGUUACUUCACUGAUAUCGGCCUUGGUCCUCUCAGAGAUUUUUACAACUUUCAUGAAGCUUCCCGGAGAGAUCUCAAAACGUCUACAGCCAUGGUGAGCACUAAAGUUUAGAGAACUAUGACCCAGCUAAUCUUACGUUUCCGUUGAUCUUUUCUCUUUCAUAUCUUUGUUGUUUUUUUUUUUGAUCAAACAAUAUAUCUUUGUUGUUAUGACUACUUUCUCUGUAUUCUUUGACUGAAUCUCCCUUCGUAUUCCAGUGGUUUCGCAACAGCUCAAUAAGUUGACUUGAGUUUUGGUUUCUUCAAAGUGUAAGCUCCAGAAUAAUUGAUUUGCCGGGUUCCAAGUUCAAUAAGUUGAUCACAUAGAGUAAACACUGAAGUCUGAACUAUUUUUCAUUGUUUUUAAAAGUAAUCAUAUUUAUGUGAAUGAUAAGUGGGAUAUCGUCGGAUUCCGUAUGGGAGAAGAAGCUUCGUCGGAUUUCGUAUGGGAUUCCUUUGCAGAUGAUAACAAGGUUUGAAUUUUAACUGGCUUUGGGGAUUAGGGUUUCUAUGUGAUGAUACAAAGUCAUGGUCUUUUAUGGUAUCAGCUAUGGUUUGAUAGGGUUUCAAUGGGUGUCAAGUUGUUUUUAACGAUCCAGGAGAAUUUACUUACAUUUAGUGUUCUUGCGUAAUAGAGUUGCAAAAGAUACCAUCUUUAAUGUCUGUUGUUGUAUUGUUGGGUGAGUGGUGACCUAACUUUUCCAGCUUUCUGAACUUCUUGCCUACGAAAAAUCAGUAUAAUUAAGAGAUCAUUCACAGUGUUGGAGGUGUUGUGUAUCUCUUCAGAGGCAGAAAUUACAACUAUCACACACGUCCUCAGUGCCAAUUGAUGCUGUGGGAACUAGCAGCCCCUGUUUAUCCAAAGCUCAUUCAAGAAAUUCCAGAAAGAUUGACCAAAGAUGAAGGCUUCAUGGUGAAGGGCAUGUCUCUUAAGCCGACAUGCAAGUUGUCUAAAAAUAAGGUGUACGUGUCGCUGGUCAAAGAAGUUAGUGAUGCCUUCGAGCUGAGUCACUUGGUGAAAGUUGAUUGCCCAGGACUUGAACCAAGUGAUUAUGAGAAAAUAAGCGCUGAGCUUAAGGUCUAUAAGUCCUUUUGUUUUUUUUUGGGGCUAUACAUUGCACAGCUCUGCAUCUUCAUUGCAAUCACUUUCCGUCAAUCUCAUUUAGCAUGUCAUAUUGAACGAUUUGAAUUUUCAUGCCUUAUGACUUUUAUUAACUAGGGAUUAAUCCGGGCUACGCCCGGGAUUUUUAUUUUUUUCUAAUUUAAGUUGUUAAAUUAUUUAUAUUUAGGUUAUGAUAUAUAUUUAUAUAAAUGUUAAGAUGCAUGUCAUAAUUAAAAUUUAUUUUUAAAUUUUAACACGUUAAAGUAACAUAUUUUUUACUGUUUAAA